GAAAUGCGAUAAGUAGUGUGAAUUGCAGAAUUCAGUGAAUCAUCGAAUCUUUGAACGCACAUUGCGCCCCUUGGUAUUCCAUGGGGCAUGCCUGUUCGAGCGUCAUAACAUCCUCAAGCACUGCUUGGUGUUGGGCCGUUGUCGUUUCCUCCCCCCCCACGGAGACAGCGACACCCCUCAAAGUUAUUGGCGGCCUUUCUGCCCAGCUUCCCGCGCAGCAGUUCGCGCUUCGGAGGCUCCUUAGGCAGGCUGGCAUCCAUCAAGCUGACCCCUUAUGCUUGACCUCGGAUCAGGUAAGGAUACCCGCUGAACUUAA
rnacentral:misc_RNA from 1 species